GACGAACGCUGGCGGCGUGCUUAACACAUGCAAGUCGAGCGGUAAGGCCCUUUCGGGGGUACACGAGCGGCGAACGGGUGAGUAACACGUGGGUGACCUGCCCUUAGCUCUGGGAUAAGCCUGGGAAACUGGGUCUAAUACCGGAUAUGACUCCAUGACGCAUGUUGUGGGGUGGAAAGCCUUGUGCGGCUAGGGAUGGGCCCGCGGCCUAUCAGCUUGUUGGUGGGGUGAUGGCCUACCAAGGCGACGACGGGUAGCCGGCCUGAGAGGGCGACCGGCCACACUGGGACUGAGACACGGCCCAGACUCCUACGGGAGGCAGCAGUGGGGAAUCUUGCGCAAUGGGCGAAAGACCUGACGCAGCGACGCCGCGUGA
rnacentral:rRNA from 1 species